rnacentral:rRNA from 1 species
GACGAACGCUGGCGGCGUGCUUAACACAUGCAAGUCGAACGGAGUGGCGAACGGGUGAGUAACACGUGGGUGACCUGCCCUGCACUUCGGGAUAAGCCUGGGAAACUGGGUCUAAUAACGGAUAGUGUGGGAUGGGCCCGCGGUCUAUCCGCUUGUUGGUGGGGUAAUGGCCUACCAAGGCGGCGACGGGUAGCCGGCCUGAGAGGGUGGACGGCCACAAUGUGUCUGCGACACGGCCCAGACUCCUACGUGAGGCAGGAUUGGCGAAUAUUGCGCAAGGGGCGGAAGCAUGAUGCAGCGACGCCGCGUGGGGGAUGACGGCCUUCGGGUUGUAAACUCCGUUCACCAUCGACGCGGUAGAUGGAGAAGAAGCACCGGCUAACUACGUGCCAGCAGCCGCGGUAAUUC